GUUGCCUGCCAGCCUUUGUUUUAACAUUACCCCUGCCCAUCUGUACCAUUCAAGUGGAAGUAGGCCACUGGAGUUCUGUGUAACUUGAGUUGGCCCGGCCAGCGGCAAACUCGAGAUGCACUACAGCCUUCCUGGCCCGCAAUUGUGUAAUGCGAGCCGGGGGCAUUGACUCGGACGUCAAGGAUAAUGGAAAGUUAACAGCGCGCAGUCGCAGCCGCCGUCUAAGUUAAGACACAAAAACAAAGCUAUGUGCGGCUAGAAACUGGCUGUGGAGCCAAUAUGCCAGACAGCGGUGGGGCGCAGGCGGCGCUGGACCAGACCGAAGACUGGGCCGGAAUGCUGUUGAACUCAAUGUUUACACUGCAACAAAAUCAAGAGUAUAAGCAAAAUGAGUAACGACCUGUCAAGUGAUUGAGCUCAAACUUGUAGUUUUGGCCGCCAUCGCAAUGAAAUGAAAUUUCGAUCAUUUCCAGAGAAUUCAGGCCACAGAUUUGGUUCUGGUUCUACAGCAGUUUGAGUUGCUGCUGCUGCUGUUGUUGUUGUUGUUGUUCUUGCUUCUUCUUCUUCAACUACUACUUCUGCUGCUGCUGGUGCUGCUGCUGGCCAUGGCCGUGCCCGUGCUGAGGCCCAAACUAGUUGGACAACUCCAGUUCAAGGAUCCGCGCCGGCAACGGGUUCAUUAACUUGUUUGCCUCGUUGCUGCUUCUUAGUUUUAUUUUCUUUUUAGUUUUAUUUGGGGCCGCGGCGAGACAAUAAUGAUCUUCGCUGGAAAUACGCGCGCCCCUCCGCUUGAAUGGCUGGCUGGCUGACUGACUGGCUGAGCUCUUGAUGCUUGUGUGUGGUUGCGGUUGGUGUUGGUGACUUAAUUGCCGCACCCAGUUCCCAGUCCUGGACAAAGGGGAUUAGCAAGAAAAACAUUUAGCCAGCCGGUUUCAAUUUCUCGCCCAUUCAAUAUGUGAAAUCUAUAGGUAAGGAUACUACAACUAGGCACGGGGCUGCAUUUCUCAAUGCCAGCGCUGAUAAAGUGGAGAGCUCUAAUAGCCCAACUGACUGAUAGCCGUAACCUUGUGGCAUUCAUUGUUGCUAGUGAUUCACUGGCUUGUCGUCAGUGACUAAGCAGCGCUUGCUACGCUGACUAACUGUGGUUAAGAAACCAGACAAAAGCUUGCUUAAAUAAAGGUUUCUAUUAACUUG